rfam:Xenopus laevis strain J chromosome 2S, whole genome shotgun sequence.
GUAGGAUACGGCGACAUGCAUCCGGUCACCAUUGGGGGGAAGAUCGUGGGUUCCCUGUGCGCCAUCGCCGGGGUGUUAACCAUAGCCCUGCCAGUUCCUGUCAUAGUGUCCAAC